rnacentral:rRNA from 1 species
UGGGGAAUAUUGGACAAUGGGGGGAACCCUGAUCCAGCCAUGCCGCGUGUGUGAAGAAGGCCUUUUGGUUGUAAAGCACUUUAAGCGAGGAGGAGGCUCCCAGUAUUAAUACUACUGGAGAGUGGACGUUACUCGCAGAAUAAGCACCGGCUAACUCUGUGCCAGCAGCCGCGGUAAUACAGAGGGUGCAAGCGUUAAUCGGAUUUACUGGGCGUAAAGCGUGCGUAGGUGGCCAAUUAAGUCAAAUGUGAAAUCCCCGAGCUUAACUUGGGAAUUGCAUUCGAUACUGGUUGGCUAGAGUAUGGGAGAGGAUGGUAGAAUUCCAGGUGUAGCGGUGAAAUGCGUAGAGAUCUGGAGGAAUACCGAUGGCGAAGGCAGCCAUCUGGCCUAAUACUGACACUGAGGUACGAAAGCAUGGGGAGCAAACAGG